rnacentral:rRNA from 1 species
ACUCAAAUGAAUUGACGGGGACCCGCACAAGCAGCGGAGCGUGUGGUUUAAUUCGAGGCUACGCGAAGAACCUUACCAGGGUUUGACAUGUACGUAGUAGUGAAGCGAAAGCGGAACGACCCUUCGGGGAGCGUACACAGGUGAUGCAUGGCUGUCGUCAGCUCGUGCCGUGAGGUGUUUGGUUAAGUCCACUAACGAGCGCAACCCUUAUCGCCAGUUAUACGUGUCUGGCGAGACUGCCGGUCUUAAGCCGGAGGAAGGUGGGGAUGACGUCAAGUCAGCAUGUCCCUUAUAUCCUGGGCUACACACACGCUACAAUGGCCGGUACAGUAGGGUGCUAAGCCGCGAGGCGGAGCCAAUCCUCAAAAUCGGUCUCAGUUCGGAUCGUAGGCUGCAACCCGCCUACGUGAAGUCGGAGUUGCUAGUAACCGCAGGACAGCUAUACUGCGGUGAAUACGUUCCCGGGUCUUGUACACACCGCCCGU